GAGUUUGAUCGUGGCUCAGAUUGAACGCUGGCGGCAUGCCUUACACAUGCAAGUCGAACGGCAGCAUGAUCUAGCUUGCUAGAUUGAUGGCGAGUGGCGAACGGGUGAGUAAUACAUCGGAACGUGCCCUGUAGUGGGGAUAACUAGUCGAAAGAUUAGCUAAUACCGCAUACGACCUGAGGGUGAAAGUGGGGGACCGCAAGGCCUCAUGCUAUAGGAGCGGCCGAUGUCUGAUUAGCUAGUUGGUGGGGUAAAGGCCCACCAAGGCGACGAUCAGUAGCUGGUCUGAGAGGACGAUCAGCCACACUGGGACUGAGACACGGCCCAGACUCCUACGGGAGGCAGCAGUGGGGAAUUUUGGACAAUGGGGGCAACCCUGAUCCAGCAAUGCCGCGUGUGUGAAGAAGGCC
rnacentral:rRNA from 1 species